GCAUUGUGAAGGUCAUCUAAACCAUUCACACCACAUUAAAAGAAAAGGGCUUCCCAGCAAGGCUUAGAAUCCCAAACAGAUGUCCACAAAAUAUAGACGAACAAACCAAAUGCUGAUCAAGUGAGACCAUGCAACAUGAUUGAUGGAAAGACACCAACCGGCACUUUGGAUACAAAAGUAGGUUAUGAACUCACCCAUGACAACUGACAGAGAUAGCUGCAUUGACAGAGGACUAUACGUCAUGCUCCCAGACAGAAGGGGAAGCUCUGCAAAUCUCCCAUGUAGUUGGCAAUCCUUUCUAUCUUGGAUAUCAUUCAAAAACAAGGACAGAGCAACCAAUCUCCAUGAAUCUCAACUGACUGCACAAACAAGAAUACCUGGAAAACUUUCUCAAUGGAAUAAUAUAAAGCUAACAUUUCCUAAGUGAUUACUACUCUGAAGUCCAACGUCUCCCCCAGCAAAUAUAACAUGUGUAGCUACCUGAGGCCACAUCCCCGGGCUAUCAUAGAAGAACAGAACCAACGCAGAGAACUAGAAGGCUAAAUGCUCUAUCGGAACCCCAGAACCCAGGUUUGGCUAAGUGCAUCCACAACAAUNNNNNNNNNNNNNNNNNNNNNNNNNNNNN
rnacentral:lncRNA from 1 species